AGAGUUUGAUCCUGGCUCAGGAUGAACGCUAGCGGCAGGCCUAAUACAUGCAAGUCGAGGGGUAAAUAUGGUAGCAAUAUCGUAUGAGACCGGCGCACGGGUGCGUAACACGUAUGCAAUCUGCCCGUAACUGGGGCAUAGCCCGGAGAAAUCCGGAUUAAUACCCCAUAUUAUAAGGACAUGGCAUCAUGACCUUAUCAAAGCUCCGGCGGUUACGGAUGAGCAUGCGCGACAUUAGCUAGUUGGUGAGGUAAUGGCUCACCAAGGCGACGAUGUCUAGGGGGUCUGAGAGGAUGAUCCCCCACACUGGUACUGAGACACGGACCAGACUCCUACGGGAGGCAGCAGUAGGGAAUAUUGGUCAAUGGACGCAAGUCUGAACCAGCCAUGCCGCGUGCAGGAAGAAGGUCCUAUGGAUUGUAAACUGCUUUUCUACGGGAAGAAACCCCUGGAUGCGUCCGGNGCUGACGGUACCGUAGGAAUAAGGAUCGGCUAACUCCGUGCCAGCAGCCGCGGUAAGACGGAGGAUCCAAGCGUUGUCCGGAUUUACUGGGUUUAAAGGGUGCGUAGGCGGACGAUUAAGUCAGUGGUGAAAGCCUGUAG
rnacentral:rRNA from 1 species